rnacentral:rRNA from 1 species
AUUGAACGCUGGCGGCAGGCCUAACACAUGCAAGUCGAACGAGUGGCGGACGGGUGAGUAAUGUAUGGGAACGUGCCCGAUGGAGGGGGAUAACUACUGGAAACGGUAGCUAAUACCGCAUACCAUCGGAUGUGCCCAGAUGGGAUUAGCUAGUUGGUGGGGUAACGGCUCACCUAGGCGACGAUCCCUAGCUGGUCUGAGAGGAUGACCAGCCAGACUGGAACGGAGACACGGCCCAGACUCCUACGGUAGGCAGCAGUGGGGAAUAUUGCACAAUGGGCGCAAGCCUGAUGCAGCCAUGCCGCGUGUAUGAAGAAGGCCUUCGGGUUGUAAAGUACUUUCAGCGAGGAGGCGUUACUCGCAGAAGAAGCACCGGCUAACUCCGUGCCAGCAGCCGCGGUAAUUC